UACGUAGGUGGCAAGCGUUGUCCGGAUUUAUUGGGGUUAAAGGGUGCGUAGGCGGCAUUUUAAGUCAGUGGUGAAAUACUUCAGCUUAACUGGAGAGGUGCCAUUGAUACUGGGAUGCUUGAGUACUGAUGAGGUAGGCGGAAUGGACGGUGUAGCGGUGAAAUGCUUAGAUAUCGUCCAGAACACCGAUAGCGAAGGCAGCUUACUAAGGAGUAACUGACGCUGAGGCACGAAAGCGUGGGGAGCAAACAGG
rnacentral:rRNA from 1 species